UGUGGUUGGUUUCCGCGUGGCUGUGUUUGCUUGCUCCACGAAGAGAGAGGUCUAAGACAGAUGAGAGAGCCAGAAAGGUCGAGAAGGAUCGAGCAAGAGAGAGGUCUAAGACAGAUGAGAGAUUCAGGAUCGAGGACAAAGGAAGAAGAAAGGGGAAAGAAACGGAACAGAGGGAGAGAAGAAGAAAGGAGGAGAAGGAAAUAAGAAUUUUGAGAAGAGGUGGAGAGAUUCCUCCUGAGAUCGGAAAGAUGGGCAGCUUGGAAGAGAAAGCACAGUUGAAACAGAGAGAGAGAGAGAAAGAGAGAACCAGAGAGUGGUGAUUCGGUUUUGCUGUGAGGAGAAGAAGAUCUGCGUUUUGGAUGGCUCUGCCGACUACAUUUUCGGGGUAUUGUUCGUGCUCCAGUUUGGGAUUCUCUCCUCCUGGGCAUUUCCAACGCAAUAGAUCUGACAUAGUAUCCGCCUUUUAGAUAUGCCUGCAAUAUGCUUCGACAAGGAAUGAAACAAAUAAUAAUGAACUCAGAAACCCUUGAAGCUAAAGCGUUGGAGAAGGUGCAGGAUAAGUCCAAAUGAGAACUCUGAGGCAUUGGCUUUUAUCAUUGAUUAGAGUUCACUCGGUUACACUUUAGAGGCAUAAGUGAUGGAGGAGGUUUCAGAGAUUCUUCAGAAACAAUUGAACAAGUCAGUGCUCGAUGAUGAAAUUAAACAUCUCCUGUAAAAGAUAUCGUAAACAUAGACACAACAAGGUGCUCCGAUAGGGGAACUGAAUCAUAUGAGAAGCAUAGAUAUCAACUCCAACUCGAGGAGGCCAUUAGUAACAAUGGCAACAAAACUUGCGCAUUCUUAGCUUACAAGACCAGUGAUUGAGCAAAGGAGAAGAGGACGGCUCUGAGCUUGGGUUUGUCAGUAUACAAAAUUUCGUGGAGCAGUUCCUACUAGACUUGCACAGGACUUGGCAUUUUCAGUUGCAAGGUUUAUACAAAAUGGUGGUUCUUUUGCCAACUACUACAUGUACCAUGGAGGAACAAAGCCAAGGAUCUAUAUUGUUGGUUAUUGAUUGUUUGUAUUGUUUUUUGAAAUUGGGUUGCAGAAAACAGAAGAAGUGUUGCUGGGUUUCGGAUUUCAGUGAUUGAAGUUUUCAGUAUUGUGGACUGCAGUAUCUCCCUGUUUUUGCUUUGUUGAUUGGAUUUUGCCGCAUCCAGCAUCGACUUAAUUAGGGAUAUUGUUUGUUGUGGAGUCUGCGAUUUCAGUAAUUGGUUGGAAGAGGUUGGAGGUCAGAUUUUGAUGAAAAUAAUGAAGCACAACUACAAUUAUCAGUUUUGGGUUUGGGAUCAAUUUUGGUCUUCAAUUAUCAAAAAACAAUUGUUUUCAAUCUAUAUCCUUAUUUAUUCAUUUAUACUUUUAAUAAUGGCUCUGCUUUUAAUAAUGGUUUUGUUUUGGUUGUGGCUCACGGAAGCACAAAUUUCCGCGUAAUGUGCACAUUAUUUGGAGUCCAGGAGAAAUUCAAGAAGUUUCCAGGGAAGUUCAACCAAAGUUCAGUUGGGAGUCCUUGAGUACAAUUUCGCAUCCAACUGAACAACACUACCAACUGAACUUUUCCUGAACUUCCUUGCAGACUCCUUGCACUCCCUCUUAGAUUAGAUCUUUACUUCAAUUUCCAAAACUUUUGUCUGCUUCAUUUUCAGUUUCAUUAGUAUCAUAUUAACUACCGCAGCAAAGCGCGGGAAACUGUGUCUAGUACAUAUACUAAAUGUGAGUUGGAGUUACUAUUUUCAAUUGUUCAUACGCGUUGUGAAAUGACGCAACUGUCCCUGGCUUUGGGUUUGAAUCACAAAAUUGCUGCAGGUGUUUUUGGAGAGUCAGAAAAGUGUUGUGGGGGGUUUUUGGGGAGAGCGCGUAUUAAAACUGAGUUGAGAUCGGGGUGGGAAAUGACGUAGCUGUCCCUGCUUUUAUUGACGUAGCUGUUCGGUAUGUGGGUGAAAAUGUGAAAUCCCUAAUGUUGUUUAAUAUAUCAACUACGAAAUGGUUUGGUUUUUGUGUUUUGUUUUUGUCGAGAAUCCAGAAUCAUCGAGAGGGAGAGAGAGGGAGAGGGAGAGCGCUUCAGACUGAGAGUGUGCUAGAACGAUUUAGAGAUAGAGAGAGAGAGAGAUCUGAUCCCUCAUCGUUGCAGGCAGAAAGAGAGAGUGAUUUGAGUUUUGAUUGGUCCAGUUUGUGACGAGAAGAUUGGGUUGAACACAAGUGGAACUGAUAGAGGUUCUAGGCGGUUGGUUGGGCUGAUUGGGGAAAAUGGUGGAGCUGCAGACGCCAAAAAUCUACGGGUGAAGCUAUACUUGAACCAUUGAAUCAACUUUUGUCAUCAGAGGUGACCAACUUGGAGCUUUGGGGAAGUUAUCCAACUUAUUUUACAAGGCAGAAUCAUCAAACUCCCAAAAUAAAAAUAGCAGUAAUGAAUCCAGAGGAACUAAAGAGGAAAGGAGGUCUCUAGAAGGGUUCUACGAAGAACUCCCUAUCGCAAAAAAAAUUGCUGUAGUGAAUUCAGUAACUGUUUCUGUCAGGAAGUGCCCUGAGACAGCUAAGAAUCUUCUAUAUUUGGAAACAGAUUUACCUGAUCAUGUUGUUGUUCACUAGGGAGUUUGCAAAGAUGAUGCUAAAAGAUGGGAAAUUCUAGCAGCCCCACAUCCGCCAGAAACAGUAGUUUUCAAGGAUAAGGCUUUGCGAACUUGACUGCAGGAAAGGAAAAUUUCCCUCAAGUCUGCAUGACAACAUAUUAAGUUAUUACUGGGAAAGGAGUUCUGUACAUAUUUUUCUCCUUUGGUCAUGCAUAGGUAGUGCCACUUUUUAGGUUUCCACUUCAUUACCAAAAAAAGAAAAAGGUUUCUAUUUGGAUUAUUGUUCAUCAUCGUCAUCUGAAGGUCAUCAAAUCUGACAAUGAGAGGAUGGAAAUAUUUUUUUGAGCAUGCAUGUGAUCAAAGGUUCAUGCAAAAGGAGGGAGCAAAUGGACGUUGGGCAUUGUUUACUUGAGAAGAAGGAACUGCAGGAUUUCUUUUUGUUUUCAAGCUAAGUGAAAGUAAAUGGUUGAAAUGUAAGGGCAAUGACUUCUACAUCCCCCUUUCAAGCGCAAAUAACUCACCUGCUGCAGCAAAGGAGGAUCAAUCUGAAGGUGCUGAUGUAGAUGAGGGAAGUGCAGAAGAAAUAGAUGAAAGUUCUUUUACUUAAUAUGCCAAUGGAAUAAUAAAUGAAAUAAGGACCCUGGUGAGUGGCAUUUCCUCUGAGAAGAGUCGAAAGACAAAAUCCAAAGAAGCACAAGAAAGCAUUCUUCAAGAAAUAGAAAAAUUGGCUGUUGAAGCCUAUAGUAUCUUCAGAAGCACUGUUCCCACAUUUACUGAGGAAGCUAUUUCAGAAUCUGAAGAAUUACCACCCUCUGAAAAUAACCUCAGGGACAGGCACGGGAUUUGAAAUAUUGUGCCAAGGUUUUAAUUGGGAAUCUCAUAAAUCUGGAAGAUGGUACAUGGAGCUCAAAGAUAAAGCUGCUGAAUUGUCUUCACUAGGUUUCACUGUGAUUUGGUUACCACCCCCCUACAGAUUCUGUGUCGCCUGAAGGGUACAUGCCGACAGAUUUGUAUAAUCUGAACUCCAGGUACCCUAAUACCCUAUGACGGAUUAGUUAGUGGUAUCUCAAUCAACUACUGUUAUUCAGACAGGGUGUGGCAUUGAAUUUUUCAACUGGUUUCAGUUCAGUAAUGGCAACAAAAACUGGAAGAACAAAGAUGAUGAGACUUUUAUGAGAUGAUGAUGCAGAGGAUCAAGGUAGUCAAAGACAGGGAGAGAGAAUAUCUGAUUAUCAAGCUUUGGUUGCUGUUUUUGAUAUGGACACACGUUCUCAGAUUAUAUCAAAAAAGCGGAAACAAGGUCUCAGUUAUGCUCCAUUCGAGUCAUCGUCGCAGAAAUACUUGACGGACAAUGGGAGUGUCUUUAUGACCAAGAUAUCUGUUACUUUGAACAAUAGAAGAGAGGGUGUACUUUUUGAAUUUUAAAGAAAUGGAAGCCCGUAAGGAUGACAAGAACCUAUCUCUCUCCCAAAGCUCAUUGACCCACACUUGCAUCAAUGGAUUCAAAACCUGUUGAUCAGUUUCAUUAAUUCAAGCAACAAAUUCAGAUGAGGUUUUACUUGCAUAUGAAAUGAAUGGAGAGGUGUUCUUCAAAGAUCGAUGAUGCCAUGAGCAAGAAGUGACGUCUCUUCUUCCUGUAUUUGUUGCCUCCUCAAGUGGGAAGGAGUUGGGAAAGUGGAAAUCCCCAUGAGGCUGUAGAUUUCUAGGUUUUGGCCAAAUCCCAGUUUUUUGACUCAGGAUUUCAUGGGUUGAAAACAAGAGGGGAAGAGAGGGUUUGGAGGGAUUAAUUAGUAAAAAGGAAAGUGAUAGUGAAGAGGUCAAUGUUGAGAAGGUACAGUCAGAAGAGUUCAGAACAGUUAUAAACACCUUUUGCAGACAGUGUGGUUGUUGACCCAUCCACUGGAUCUACUGGUCGAAAUGAUUUCUCUCUUGAAUAUAUUCCUUAAAUAGUGCAAAACCAUGGUAUUAAUCAAGCAAAACAUGGUGAUACAUCAAAGCUUCAACAAAGGAGAUUCUCAACGCAUGGUAGAUCAAGAGACUUUAGAUCAAAUCAGAUCUAAGCCAUCAAACAACCAAAGAAGUUUGUGCAGUAAUGGUGGCAAAUCUCCAGAAAAUUUGAUUUAACGCUACUAUGAUAAGAUCAUUCUUUUAAGUUUGAGAGUAAGAAAAGACUGGUACUAGGUUAAGAUUUUCAUCCCGCAGCAAAGCGCGGGCACUGUUGCUAGUCAUGUUACUAACUGAAAGCAAGUCUAAUAUUAUUACCCAAGAAAAAGCACAGAUAUUCCAGGUGAA